rnacentral:lncRNA from 10 species
GUGAUUGAUUCAAAUACUGCGUACUCUUGCUAGUAUUUUCCUUGCAUGCUGAUAUGGUUUGGCUGUGUCCCCACCUAAAUCCCAACUUGAAUUGUAUCUCCCAGAAUUCCCACGUGUUGUGGGAGGGACCCAGGGGGAGGUAAUUGAAUCACGGGGACCGGUCUUUCCUGUGCUAUUCUCGCCAGAGUGAAUAAAUCUCACGAGAUCUGAUGGGCCUAUCAGGGGUUUCUGCUUUUGCUUCUUCCUCAUUUUCUCUUGCUGCCGCCAUGAUUCUGAGGCCUCCCCAGCCAUGUGGAACUGCAAUACUUUAAAGACACAAAGUCUCAACAACCAUCUUCCGCUUGACGAGACAGAUCAUUCUAAUUUGAGCAGAAGCUACUAUGUCCUGCCCUUUGAACGCGGCGGCCCGGACAGCUGACAAGGACACACUGUGUAUUUCCAUUCCAAUUCUGGGAGUGCUCUGAGGCCUCUGGGGGAGAAGGACCCAUGAAAUAUUCAAAACAUAAGUGAAUAAAAUAUCUAGGUGCUAGAUAUGGGCCAGGAAGAGCCCUCGGCCCUGCAAAGUGUGUGUGAUGGUGAGAAGCUACCGGAAGAGAUGGUCCCUGUGCUUGGUUCAUUCCUUGGACAUUUAUCAAGCUGACGAAUGUAGCAGAGGUGCUUCAGUCGGCUGUAAUUCCACGGGUGGAGUGCUGGCUGGAGAGUUACCUGGGGCUGUCACACUGCAUGGGCUCCGGGACACUGUGGCUGCCCUUAUGUGGUGUCCCCGGAGGGCCCUGCAGGUGUCACACCGCUGCUCCACACUGCCACCUGCUGUCAGCAUCUGUGCAACGUAUCCAGGUCUCUGGGGGCUAGAAUGAAAAACAUGCAUCUCGUAACCAAUGAAAUCGGGCUUGUCCUGAAGACCUCGUGCAUUCAUCCAUUCUCACACUGCUAUAAAGACAUACCUAAGACUGGGCACUUCAUGAAGAAAAGAGGUUUAAUUGGCUCACGGUUCUGCAGGCUUUACAGGAAGCAUAGCAGCUUCCACUUCUAGGGAGGCCUCAGGAAACUUAUAGUCAUGGUGGAAGGUGAAGGCGGGACAAGGCGUCUCACAUGGGAGCAGUAGAGAGAGAAAAAGAGGGGGUGCCGCACACUUUGAAACAACCAGAUCUAACGAUAACUCACUAUCAUGAGAACAGCACCAAGAAGCUGGCGCUAACCCACUUGUGAAGGACCACCACCAUGAUCCAAUCCCUUCCCACCAGGUCCCACUUCCAACGUUGGGGAUUACACUUCACGGAGGACCUUGCCUCCACUUUCUCCAGGGCCACCUGUGAUGCACCAGGAUCCAUCCUGUAAUCCCAGCUACUUGGGAGGCUGAGGCAGGAGAAUCACUUGAACCUGGGAGGCGAGAGGCAGAGGUUGCAGUAAUAAGCCAAGAUUGGACCACAGCACUCCAGCCUUAGCAAUAGAGAGAGACUUCGUUUCAAAAAAAAAAACCUAUGCAAAUCCCAAUUACACACGCUGAGUGGCAUGUUCAGCUGAGCCACCUGCCCAAGGCGGGACCCUCUCUUCCUCCGUCUGCAGGUCACAUGGAGAUGGCAGAGCACCUGCACGUGCACCUGGAGACCCUCUCAAGCCUCGUCUCCUGGCACUGCCUCCUCCUGACAUUGGAGGCUGCUGGGAGUACCAGCCUGUAACCCUCGUUGUGAUGGCACCUGCCUGGUGCUAUAAUUCAGACAUUUGUCUCCCCAACCUCAUGUUGAAAUUUGAACCCCAAUGUUGGAGGUGGGACCUGACAGAAGGUGCCUAGGACAUGAGAGCUUGGUGCUGUCCUCGCGGUCAUGAAUGCAUUCAUGCUUUAUUCCUUCUCACAAGAACUGAUUGUUAAAAACGCUUGGCACCUCCUCUGCCCACUCUCUCUUGCUCCCUCUCUCACCAUAUGGUCUGCAUGCACCUGCUCCCAUCGCCUUCUGCCAUGAGUGGACACUUCCUGAGGCCUCACCAGAAGCAGAUGCUGGCACCAUGCUUCUUGUACAGCCUGCAGAACUGUGUGCCAAAUAAACCUCUUUUCUUUAUAAAUCACCCAACCUCCCAACACAAAUCGUCCAAGACACCUGGUGUCCCCCAAACAGCUCCUUGGUCAACCUCAGAUUCAGGACCAAUCUGAGAGCUGUUUCCGUGAAGGGAGGAGAGGAGAGUUGUUAGCUGAAGAGGACAUGGGUUUGCUCAAGAUCCCUGCAUUCUCCACUAUGGCUCUCUGAUUCUCCUCUCUGAGCUUGUGGCAGACACGGCAGAUACCUCAAGCAUGGCUGGGCAGCAGAUGCUGGCUGAGAGGAAGUGGCUGAGCCCAACUUGUCCCUCCUCAGACCCCAGAAUUGCCAAGACCAGAGUCCUCCAUAAAGACCUCACAAACAGGCAAUCACUGCAUGCUUUUCCACAAUUAAAUAUGUGCACAUCUUAAGGAAAGGACCUAACAUCCUUCAGCAGUAUCUCUUUCCAGGGCAGGGAGUGACUGCGUCAGCAGCCUCAAGUACCUGGAAACUGUCCACAUCAGGCAAAGUGGUGGGAGAGACACAGAUGUUUCCACCAGCAUUUAAAAGAAAGGAAAGAAAAUUAUUGACAAGAAGCCUCCAUGGUGGAUCAGGCUUCAACGUUUUGAUGGACCUGGCCUCUCUUGGAAGCAAAUCCCUGGAUGGAGCCCAUGUCUCUUUGGGCCCCCAAAGGCAGCCUGACCUUGACACGGAGUGCAAAGCAGACUCAGCUGCUUGUGUUUAAUGGGGAUUCGCAUAGUUGGUUUUUGGUUUUGUUUUUGUUUUGUUUUGUUUUUUGUUUUUUUUUGAGAUGGAGUCUUGCUGUGUUGCCUAGGCUGGAAUGCAGUAGCGUGAUCUCUGCUCACUGCCUGCAACCUCUGCCUCCCCAGUUCAAGUGAUUCUCUUGCUUCAGCCUCCCGAGUAGCUGGGAUCACAGGCACGUGCCACCAUGCCCUGCUAAUUUUUGUAUUUUUAGUGGAGAUGGGGUUUCACCAUGUUGGCCAGGCAGGUCUCGAACUCCUGACCUCAAGUGAUCCUCCCACCGCAGCCUCGAACAAUGCUGGGAAAACAGGCGUGAGCCACUGUACCCAGCUGGGAUUUGUGUAGUUUUGUCCGUGCUGUUAUAUGGUGCACUGGGCAGAGCCAGCCAGUCCCGCCUCGAGCCCCGUUACUUUGGUCUCUGAUGCAGAUGUUGUGUGGCAGUGGAACGGCCUCAUCAGCCCCACCUGGGACCUGGCAGGGGAUGGGUCUGAGCAGCCCUAGAGGAGGGUCCCCAGGGCCCACAGCAAGGGUGACAUGACCCACACCAUCCCCACUGAUGGGACCCACACAGUGAACCUCCUCCCACACCCCCUCCCCAGCCGGCCACUUGGACCAGAGAGACGUUAUCAAAGUGCCCUCUCAGAAACGUCGCCUUCAUCCACCAUCCUCUUUUAACCCACUGGGCUUGGUCAGGAAGCCGUUGGUCAGCAGGGGGCAGGUGGGGUUGGGGGGCACCCUUAUGUCCUGUGAGACCCUAGCAGGCACUCCAGCUUGGGAUUUCCAGAGGCUCUGAGGUGGCUAAGAACAGGAUGACAAAUCGACUCCAAGGUUCAACUCUUCCCCUCAUGGACACUCCUCCCUAUGCUGUUCUCAUCUCAAAUUUUACCUGUUUUUCUCAAAGUAGCUCACCAGAGGUUGGAAAUGAGAUCAAAGGUCAGCGUGGAUCUCAACAUUAUUAUUCAUCAGGGAAAUGCAAAUCACACCAGAGAUGAGACGCCAUGACACUCACACUAGCAGGGCUAAAAUUUAAAAGUCUAGCUGGGGCUGGGCAUGGUGGCUCAUGCCUGUGAUCCCAGCACUUUAGGAGGCCAAGGCAGGAGGAUUGCUUGAAGCCCAGGAGCUCAAGACCAGCCCCGGCACCAAAGCAAAACUGUACCUCUACAAGAAUUUUUUUUUUAAUUGGCUAGAUGUGGUACACAUGCCUGUGGUCACAGCUACUUGGGAGGCUGAGGAGGGAGGAUCACUUGAGUCCACGAGUUCGAGGCUUGGUGAACUGUGAUCAUGCCACUGCACUCCAGUCUGGGCAACAGAGUGGGACCUCAUCUCUUAAAAAUAAAGAAAAGGAAAGGAGUGGAAAGGAGAGGAGAGGAAGAAACUUGAUAUUUCAAUUAUUUUAAAUUUGUUGAGACUUGUUUUGUGGCCUAACAUAUGGUCUAUCCUGGAGAAUGUUCCAUGUGCUGAGGAAAAGAAUGUAUAUUCUGUACAGCUGUUGGAUGGAAUGGUCUGUAAAUGUCUGUUAGGUCCAUUUGGUCUAAACCAUAGUUUAAAUCCAAUGCUUAUUUGUUAAUUUUCUAUCUGAUGAUAUGUUGAAGGCUGACAGUGUGAUGUUGAAGACCCCAACUGUUACUAUAUUAGAGUCUCUCUCUUUAGAUCUAAUAAUAUUCACUUUAUAUAUCUGGAUGAUUUGGUGUUGGGUGCAUAUAUAUUUACAAUUGUUAUAUCUUCUUGCUGAGUCAGUCCCUUUAUCGUUAUAUAAUGACCUUCAUCUCUUUGUAGUUUUUGACUUAAAGUCUGUUUUAUCUGAUAGAAAUAUAGCUACUAUCGCUCACUUUGGGUUGAUGAAAUAUCUUUUUACAUCCCUUCCCUUUUAGUCUGUAUGUGUAUUUAUAGGUGAAGUGAGUUUCUAACAGGCAGUAUAUAGUUAGGUCAUUAAAAAAAAAUCCAUUCAGCGAGUCUGUAUCUUUUAAGUGGGGAAUUUCAUCCAUUUACCUUCAGGAUUAUUAUUGGUAGGUGAGGGUUUAUUUUAUAAUUUUGUUAAUUGUUUUCUGAUUGUUUUGUAUAUCCUUUGUUUCUUUGUUCCUUUCUUCCUUCUCAUUAUUUAUCAUUGAGGUUGGGUGGUUUUCUGUAGUGAUAAGGUUUGAUUCUUUUCUUUUUCUGUUUUGGAUAUUUGCUUUACCACUGAGUUUUAUACUUUUGUGUGUUUUCAUGAUAGUGAUUGUCAUUUUUUCACUCACAGAUGUAGGAUUCCCU